CAGAAGAAAUUAACCAUGUGCCUCUCUAC
rnacentral:piRNA from 1 species